GGAGACAUAGCUCAGCUGGGAGAGCGAGCGACUGAAGUUCAGUCAUCAGACCUUGCGUGGAUCGAAUCGAUUCACGCUUGGACAUCGCUAGGUCGGGUGUUCGAUCCACCCUGGCUCCA
rnacentral:tRNA from 1 species